GUUCAAGUGAAAGACGCGCUCUUCUCUCAACAAUUAAAUGAAACCCUUAGUUACUCCUAAAAGUCAGAAGAUCCUCAAAUCUGAAAAUCAACAAAUAAAACGAUAAUCCAGAGAUAAAGUUGAUGUUGUGGCUGGUCGAUCUUCUUCCUUCAAAUAUGCAUAAUCCAACAAAAGAAAAUGUUGAUUUCAACUUCGAGCUUGGACUUGUGAGUGGCGAACCAACUUCAACCUUCGACCUUUGAGAGGUGGAGGUUCAUUGGGGAGAGAUUCUGUAUAGACAGCUGAUUGGUGGAAUCGACGACUGGUGCCUUUUGCUGUCGGGUGAUUUUUUUCGAACUAAUUAGUUCUUAUAGUUGAUUCUUGAUGCGCUUGUGUAAAAAAUUUGAAUCUUCUUUUCUCGUUCAAAUGUAUUUUGCCUGAAGUGUAUAGCCAAACAAACCCUUAGAAUAAGGCUUCAAGGGAUGGAGAGAUUUGGACCGAACCGGCGUCUUUCGGUGUUCGUACUUUUCAAGCCUUCUUUUUCUCGAGGUCAGCUCCUCAUUUGCUCUCUAUUUUUUCAUAUCUACGAUUUCGUUAGUUUAGGCUAUAAGUUUUUUAGUGAAGUAUUACUAUGUUUCUGCUUUUUCAACUGCUACGCUGAUUUUGGAUUUCUCUGGACUUGUUCAGUUUCUUGAUUGGAUAUGGUUUAAUUUAGAUUACACUUUAUUGGGAACGGUUGAAUUGGAAGCUUGAUUUGAUUGUGCUCUUUUUGCUGAAUUUGAGAUUUAGUUUGGGUCUUAGGAAUACGAAAUUAUGAAUUAAAAAUUGGGUUUCUAAUUUCUUCUAAGAAUCAUAGUUUAUGGGCUUAAAGAGGGGAAAAAAGAAUAUGCUCUGUGUUGUGCAAAGUGAAGUGUGAUUCUAUUUGAUUGACAAAAUAUGGGGAUUACAUAAAUUAAUUCUUUAGUUGUUCUAAAGGAUUAUUAUUAUUAUUAUUUUUUUUUUUCCAAUCAGAUGGGAGCUGUGGAAAGAAUGAGAUUUGAAAAGGUCCAUAAUAAUUUUGACACGAUAAGGCGAAGGGUUUCGUUGGAGAGACAGUUGAAAAGAUCCUAAGGAUUACAAUUUGUAAAGAUGAAAAUGUUGAUGAUUAUGGGGAGAGACUCUCAUCUUCAGUUGUCUUCGGGGUACUAUUAAUCACGAAUAAUAAUGU
rnacentral:lncRNA from 1 species